GUUCCCGUAGCUCAGCCGGAUAGAGCGUUCGCCUCCUAAGUGAAAGGCCGGUGGUUCGAAUCCACCCGGGAACACCA
rnacentral:tRNA from 1 species